rnacentral:rRNA from 1 species
AGUGAUGAUAGCCUAGGAGAUACACCUGUUCCCAUGCCGAACACAGAAGUUAAGCCCUAGUACGCCUGAUGUAGUUGGGGGUUGCCCCCUGUUAGAUAUGGUAGUCGCU